CCUCUCCCCGCCCCCCAUCCCGCGGGCCCCACCGACUCCGGAGCGCCCGCCCCGCCCGCUGCCGCCACCGGGGCCGCCUCGCCCCCGCGCCAGCCCGCCGGAGCCUCUGCGCCGCCGUCGGCUUCUUAAAUGCAGGAAAGGGAGGGGACCGCAGGACCCCGGUGUCCCCACCCUAGUCCCCCUUCCCCACGGGCCUCCGGGCGCCAGCGGAGUGGGCAGCGAGCGCGACCGAAAGUUCCAACUCCACCAAAGUCCUGCGCGCGGCCCACCCCGUUCCCGGAUUUCGGGGAUGACACGGGGGCCAGUGGCCCUGUCUGAUGUGAAGCGUCAGCACGGAUGGCCUCCUGGAGCUUCCCCGAGUCUUUCGCUGGGGGAAGCGGGCGGUGAGCGGCCGGCCCGGGGCGCUCCGCGGGCCGCGAGCUCCUGGCAGGGCUGGUGGCGGGGGUCCGCCUGGGGGAGGAAUCCCCGCCUGCUCCAUCGGACCCGGCCUGGCGCGGCUCGCGGCGCUCGGCGGGCUGCCUUCCAUUCUAGAAUCUUCCCGCUUGCUUCCCAGCCCGAGUUCUCCCGCCCGCCUUUAAUUGUAAUUUACAGGACUAAAGAGUUUGGGGAAGUCGCAGAGCCGCAGCGGAAAGGCAGGGGUCUGAGACUACUUUCGAGAGGAGAAACAACGCAAAACGAUCGCUGGACGGCCAGAGCCCUGGUCGAAGGUGCCCUAGCUUUUAUGACCUGGUUAAUUGUGUCUCUCUUUUAAUUUUUAUUUUUUUCCUGACCACUACUGCUACUACUACUUCUAUUUUUCUUUUAACCGACACACUUUGGGGAGAAGAAGCAGACACAGGUUCCCACAGCGUCUGACGCCUGCCGAGCAAGUCCAGAACCGGCUGGACUCGCAGCCUCUGGCUCGGCGGCACCAGCUCCCCACUGGGUCAUUUUAAGCGCGCUGUGGCCACCUUUUCUGUUGCGUAAGGCCCGCUCCCCCUGUCCCGCACCCCUCUCUCCAACAAACUGGCACGAUGUCUUUAGGUCUUUCUCGGGCUUCCAAAUGCAACUGUUUAAUUUUAUCGGUCUGUUUUGCAUUUCCUACAAGGUGUGGACCUGGGGAGGAUCUUCUAAGUCCCUCCAGCGAAGGCAAGUGUGAGACUCUGGCCCUUUAUUUGUAAGAAGCAAGCCUUCAGACUGCAGAAGUGUCGCGCGGGUCGCCGUGCGUUGCGCGAGUGGGAAGAUGGAGGAGGCCGGCACGGUGCUUUCGUGGACGCAAGUGAACCGGGCGUGAAGGCAGGGUGCAAGCUCUGCCCUUGGCCCAGCCCGGCGUGGGUGCCGUCCCAGAUUCCGGGCGGUGCGGGGUGCAGAGAUCUGGAGAGAGUUGCGGGCUCCCCAGCGCAGGCUGCUCUGGGAUUUCGUUGGAAGAUCCGGUAGAGCCUUGGAGGAGAGGGCCGGGGAGGCUGUGUGUGCAGCGGAAGCUUGUACGAAUGCCCCCACAGCUGAAAUGGUGCGCACGAGUAAUUUCUGCGGCGCACCCUUUUAAACAUUGACUGAAGUGAACAAGAUCAAUUUUUUAAAAAAGCAAAAGUAGAAAAUAAAAGGCGUGAGACUUCUUGACUGGCUUGUUCCCGCCUUUCUUCCUUCCCUAUACUCAGAUCAGAAACUUUAAUUGCUCUUAUUCAGUGCGACAACUUUUAAUAAAAGCGUUUGCAUCUUAAGCCCGAGUUGCAACCAUAGAUUUAUUGCGAAGUGACAACGUGUCCACGGAAUAUUUUCGCAGAUGACACAGGACGUGCGCUCUGGUCCUGCCCAGAUUAAAGGGACGCUGGGCCAUGUGCCUGUGUGGGUGUAGACUCGGAGGGGCACACACCUACUCGUCAUCACAUGACCACUGUCUAUUAAUAUUGUCAUACCUAAACACUCGCAAAAACAAAAGUUGCUUUUCUUCCCUGUAAUUAAAUCUAAUUUGUUAAUUGUCUUUCCUCUUGCAAUGUUGUUUUCAUCUUAAGAGGUGACACAUUAUUAUUUUGUCUGUCUAAUAUUAUUUACAAAUUAAUGCUGUAUAUUUUACAUUAGUGAAACAUAUAAUUAGGUGUUUGGUUCAAUCGGUA
rnacentral:lncRNA from 10 species